rnacentral:rRNA from 1 species
GACGAACGCUGGCGGCGUGCUUAACACAUGCAAGUCAAGGGGGCCCAGCAAUGGGCAACCGACGAACGGGUGCGUAACACGUGAGCAACCUACCGAACUGUGGGGGAUAGCCGGCCUAACGGCCGAGUAAUACCGCAUACGCUCUCAGAGAGGCAUUUCUUUGAGAGGAAACCUACGGGACAGAUCGAGGGGCUCGCGGCCUAUCAGCUAGUUGGCGAGGUAACGGCCACCAAGGCAACGACGGGUAGCUGGUCUGAGAGGAUGGCCAGCCACAUUGGGACUGAGAUACGGCCCAGACUCCUACGGGAGGCAGCAGUGGGGAAUCUUGCGCAAUGGCCUAACGGCUGACGCAAGCGACGCCGCGUGUGGGAUGAAGCUC